CAUGCCUAACACAUGCAAGUCGAACGGAACUUCUUUAAUUGAUUUCUUCGGAAUGAUUUUGAUUAAGUUUAGUGGCGGACGGGUGAGUAACGCGUGAGUAACCUGCCUCUGAGAGGGGAAUAACAUUCUGAAAAGAAUGCUAAUACCGCAUAACAUAUAUUUAUCGCAUGGUAGAUAUAUCAAAGAUUUAUCGCUCAGAGAUGGACUCGCGUCCGAUUAGUUAGUUGGUGAGGUAACGGCUCACCAAGACCGCGAUCGGUAGCCGGACUGAGAGGUUGAACGGCCACAUGGGGACUGAGACACGGCCCAGAGUACUACGGGAGGCAGCAGUGGGGGAUAUUGCGCAAUGGGGGAAACCCUGACGCAGCAGCGCCGCGUGAAGGAUGAAGGUCUUCGGAUUGUAAACUUCUUUUAUUAUGGACGAAGAAAGUGACGGUACUUAAUGAAUAAGCUCCGGCUAACUACGUGCCAGCAGCCGCAGUAA
rnacentral:rRNA from 1 species